CUCCUUUGGUCUCUAGCCUUAGGAGGCUUUGCUUUCCUAUGUAUGUGUCCCUCUGUCACCUGGGACUGGAACAGCUUCUGAACAUAUGUAAACUGACCAUCCCAGAAACCUUUUUCCUGUCUGCAAAAUGAUAUUUCUUCCCACAUCUUUUCUGCAAAUCUUUAAAAUAAACUUUCCUGCUUCCCUUCAUGCCCAUUUGUUAGGUGAAACCUGCUCUUCCAAAUAUUGAAGAGGAAUCCCCUCCCAUGAAACCUCUCUCCUCUUUCCCAUCUGUAUAAGGGAACAUCUCCUUUCCUAUCUGUAAAAUGGAACCUAGCCCUCUUCUCCAUCC
rnacentral:lncRNA from 1 species